rnacentral:rRNA from 1 species
AUACGGAGGGGGCUAGCGUUGUUCGGAAUUACUGGGCGUAAAGCGCGCGUAGGCGGAUCGUUAAGUCAGGGGUGAAAGCCCGGAGCUCAACUCCGGAACUGCCCUUGAUACUGGCGAUCUAGAGUCCGGGAGAGGUGAGCGGAAUUCCUAGUGUAGAGGUGAAAUUCGUAGAUAUUAGGAGGAACACCAGUGGCGAAGGCGGCUCACUGGCCCGGUACUGACGCUGAGGUGCGAAAGCGUGGGGAGCAAACAGGAUUAGAAACCCCAGUAGUCC